rnacentral:misc_RNA from 1 species
CGCAUCUUGCGCUCCAUGGUAUUCCGUGGAGCAUGCCUGUUCGAGUGUCACGUGAACCCUCACCUUUGUGAUGUCAAAAUCAUAUGUGGUGGAUUUGGACUGUGCUGUCGUUGGCUCGUCCUGAAAUGCAUUAGCUGGCUUGUACUUUGAAGAGUGUUGGGCACCGGUGUGAUAAUUAUCAGCAUCGGCUUCGGUCCGAAAGGCCUCUUUAAAGUCUUGCUGCUUACAGUCGUUCUGACGGACACUUAUUUUUUAAAGCUUUGGCCUCGAAUCAGGUAGGACUACCCGCUGAACUUAA